rnacentral:ncRNA from 1 species
GUGAGCCGUAUGAUGGGCAACUAUCUCCUGCGGUUCGGAGAGGACUCAGCUGUUAGUGCAUUCAGGGGCUCCUUUGAGUAAGUGAAGACGAAUAGUCGACUUUGC